ACUCUAUCCUGAUGGGACCCUAAACCCACAGGUGUUCUUUGGACCUGAGCUGCUUGGCAGCAGAAGGGGAUGAGCAGGGAACAAAGUAGCCCAAAUGCAAGAUGCUCAGAUGUAUGCAGAGAAUGCAACAUGACAAACUGCUAGGUUUGGUUAAAUUGGGACUGUUAAUUAUAGCAGUUUAAAUUGGGUUCUGACUCAGAUUUUGAAUUUGUAGUGGCAAGAUGACAGCCUGGAGAAGGUGGUUGUAAAUGGCUGACUCAGAGGAUGAUGAUCAGCACGACAGAGCCUCCUGCCUGUGCUAGUACUAUGUGUUUAUAGGAGAGAUGUUAUAAGGUGACAGACUCCAGUUCAGCUCCACCCCGUGAUCUGUUCACCAGGCAUUAUGGAGACUGGAAAGACCAAGAGAGCAAAUGGAGGAAGGAGCAUAUUAAUUGGGACGUAGAUACAAGAACUUGCCCAUAAUCAGUUCAAUAAUUCCACUUCAAAACAAGCCAUUCUGCUGCCACAUAUAAUCCUGACAACUCAUUAUCCACCAGCCCAGUUUUACCUUCAGUUGUAUUACUGCAAUGGGAAGGGAAGGAAAGGAGCACAGCAAUGCAGCAGGGAUGGCCACUCUUCCUGACUCCCCAAAUACCACUCUUUUCUGAGACAGCAGCCCCAGUGAUGACCAACGUGGUGGCUCUUGCAUCAGCUCCUCAAAGUGACAAAUGUCUCUGACUCAGUGUUUGUGCCAGGCCAUACAGCACCACCUGGCUCAGCCUUUCAGGUACUGUCACAGCACAGUAUGACCAAUGGAAACAAUGGAAAGAGACUCUGAUUUUUUUGGACACUCAGUGGAGCAGUCAGGGGACUAUCCUCUGAGGAGACUGAUGGAUUGUACGUUGGGAUAGAAGAUGAAACCAGGAGAAAAACAUUCAGUGCUCAGGAGAAGAGGAAAAUUAUGAGGAAAACAAGCCCCUCAUUGACUCAGUAUGAAGAAAAGGAGACUUGGCACAUGGUGGCAAAAACUCUGUACCUCAUGCAGAGGGAGUGACACAAGCUGUGAGGUAGGUAAGACAGGUGCAGAGCAGCUGAAGCACUGUGGAGUUCACAAAAUUCAGUCUCACUCCCAGCUCAAUGACACCAAGUGAUCAAACUGGUACAGGAUUCUCCUAUUCCUCACCUGCAUGUUCAACUCCUGACCGUGAUUGCCACAAAAUAUUACUGAUCUCAAGCACUGAUUUAGGAGCACCUCAAAUACCUGGAUGUUUCUAACAAAAGCAAACAAUUUUGAGCUGUGCUUCUUUCUCUUACCAAAAAUUAAACUUGUGCUGGGAUCCAGUGCUCCCAGAUUUGCCCCUGAAAAACAAGUGCCAGUUCUAUCCUAGUUUUCCUGGAUAUCUUCUUUUGCUACCAGGCAGAAAUGGAUACUUCCAUAGGCCAGUCCAUCCCACACAUCUUCCAUACCUUCUACAGAAAUGUAAAGUGUGGGUGUUACUCCAUGCUUGAUCAGGAUUUUGUUCACUGCACAGUUAGCUCCGAAACUGCAUAGCAAAAUUCUUUUCUGUCUUGGCUGUUCCUUUGAAAAAGAUUAGAUGCCUGGCUGCUUUCAAAUUCAUUUAAAAAUCUAGAAUGCAGCCAGAUAGCACAACAGUCAAUCAUGACUGUUUUUAUCAGGACCUCAUCUGUUUCAGGAUGUCAAUGGAAGUUCUGCUUAACCAGCCAGAGUAGAAGUUGCCCUAAGCAUUCCCUCCUCCCUCUGGCUAUUAUGUUGCUUUGCCAGCAGUUCCUGUAUGUCUUCUAUAGUUUUAGGAACACCUUUUGCUGGAGGUUAGAAAAGUGAAAGCAAAAACUGGAAAGUUAAAUUCAAUAAUAAGCUAAUAAGGAUAAAUAGGCAAUAGUGUAGAAAGACCAUUUGUCUGAACACAAAGCUCUGGAUAUAUAUGGCCAUGUUAGAAAAGGCAACAGUCAAAACAAUAUCAUAAGGACUUCUGUAAAGCUAAGGGGUCAAAGUGGAGAGCCAAGAUGAUAUUUUUCUACCUGCAAUUUUUAAGCAUUUCUAAUGACACAGGACUUUCAAAGGAGAUGGGGAAAAAUGUAUCUUUCAAGUUUGCCUGUUUGGCAGACAGUAAUUCAGCUGAGCUAAGCAAAAUGAAGCUGACAAAUGCCACUAUCCUUGGUGAUAAGGGUUUUUCUCCUUUAUUUUUAGUGAAUACAAGAAGGACCCAAAAUUUUUCCUACAGAAGACCAUAUCUGGAGAUUUGCCAGAAAACUCAGGGUCACUGCCUUGUUUAAGAUGGAGUAAAAUAGAGCUACCUAAAUUUUUAAUGAGAAAGUAAGACCUGAACAGAGCACAGCUCCAAUGUGCCACGCUAAGCUGCUGCCAAGGCUGGCCAUCUUGAGGAGCUGCAGCCAUGGGUUAAACCUCUGUGACCCUUCAGGGCUCAGUGGUACACUCACAGCAGACCAUGAAACAUCAACCUUGGCUGAUGAUUCUUUGAAAAAUCAGAUGUUUUCACUCAAAAAGUUGUUCUUUAAGGUGAAACCCAAGUCUGCAAAAUUAUUUUUCUCUUCAUAUCUUUUAAUAGAGAUGAGGAACAUUUUUUUUUUUCCUACUCAAAUGAACAGCCAUAAUUCUAAAUUCCCUGCAGCAUUUUAGGUAAAUUUCCAUUCCUUCCUUUUCAUGGAAUAUAUACUCCUGGAAGGACCAAGUGGAGAUAAGCUAAAUAAGUACAAUGAAUAAUUUUAUGAAGACGAAGGUGAUUAAAAAACAAGUCCCAAAUUUUUGUGAGCCUCAGACUAAUUUCCACCUCAUUGAUGCUGAUGUAGCACAUUGCAAUUCUGAGAUGGCCUCUCAUGUCUCCCUGAUGUUAUUGAUUGGAGAA